rnacentral:misc_RNA from 1 species
GAUGAAGAACGCAGCGAAAUGCGAUACGUAAUGUGAAUUGCAGAUUUCAGUGAAUCAUCGAAUCUUUGAACGCACAUUGCGCCCCCUGGUAUUCCGGGGGGCAUGCCUGUCCGAGCGUCAUUGCUGCCCUCAAGCACGGCUUGUGUGUUGGGCCCCGUCCUCCGAUCCCGGGGGACGGGCCCGAAAGGCAGCGGCGGCACCGCGUCCGGUCCUCGAGCGUAUGGGGCUUUGUCACCCGCUCUGUAGGCCCGGCCGGCGCUUGCCGAUCAACCCAAAUUUUUAUCCAGGUUGACCUCGGAUCAGGUAGGGAUACCCGCUGAACUUAAGCAUAUCAAUAAGCGGAGGA